GUGGGGAAUUUUGGACAAUGGGCGCAAGCCUGAUCCAGCAAUGCCGCGUGCAGGAAGAAGGCCUUCGGGUUGUAAACUGCUUUUGUACGGAACGAAACGGUCCGGGUUAAUACCCUGGGCUAAUGACGGUACCGUAAGAAUAAGCACCGGCUAACUACGUGCCAGCAGCCGCGGUAAUACGUAGGGUGCAAGCGUUAAUCGGAAUUACUGGGCGUAAAGCGUGCGCAGGCGGUUGUGUAAGACAGGCGUGAAAUCCCCGGGCUCAACCUGGGAAUUGCGCUUGUGACUGCACAGCUGGAGUGCGGCAGAGGGGGAUGGAAUUCCGCGUGUAGCAGUGAAAUGCGUAGAUAUGCGGAGGAACACCGAUGGCGAAGGCAAUCCCCUGGGCCUGCACUGACGCUCAUGCACGAAAGCGUGGGGAGCAAACAGGAUUAGAAACCCGGGUAGUCC
rnacentral:rRNA from 1 species